CAGUAGCCACGGUAAUACGAAGGGUGCAAGCGUUAAUCGGAAUUACUGGGCGUAAAGGGUGCGUAGGCGGUUAGUUAAGUCUGUCGUGAAAUCCCCGGGCUCAACCUGCGAAUGGCGAUGGAUACUGGCUGGCUAGAGUGUGUCAGAGGAUGGUGGAAUUUCCGGUGUAGCGGUGAAAUGCGUAGAGAUCGGAAAGAACAUCAGUGGCGAAGGCGGCCAUCUGGGACAACACUGACGCUGAAGCACGAAAGCGUGGGGAGCAAACAGGAUUAGAUACCCGCGUAGUCCCUGUCUCUUAUAA
rnacentral:rRNA from 1 species